GGGUUCUUAGCUCAGUUGGUAGAGCAGCGGACUCUUAAUCCGUAGGUCGAGUGUUCGAGUCACUCAGGACCC
rnacentral:tRNA from 1 species